GACGAACCGUGCGAACGUUGUUCGGAAUCACUGGGCCUAAAGGGCGCGUAGGCGGACCAUCAAGUCAGGAGUGAAAUCCCCCGGCUCAACCGGGGAAGUGCUUUUGAUACUGGUGGUCUCGAGUGGGGUAGGGGCGUGCGGAACUUCCGGUGGAGCGGUGAAAUGCGUAGAGAUCGGAAGGAACGCCGGUGGCGAAAGCGGCACGCUGGACCCUUUCUGACGCUGAGGCGCGAAAGCCAGGGGAGCAAACGGG
rnacentral:rRNA from 1 species